UACGUAGGGGGCAAGCGUUGUCCGGAAUUAUUGGGCGUAAAGAGCUCGUAGGCGGUUGGGUAAGUCGGGUGUGAAAACUCCAGGCUCAACUUGGAGAUGCCACCCGAUACUGCUCUGACUUGAGUUCGGUAGGGGAGUGGGAAGUUCCUGGUGUAGCGGUGAAAUGCGCAGAUAUCAGGAGGAACACCGGUGGCGAAGGCGGAUCUCUGGGCCGAUACUGACGCUGAGGAGCGAAAGCGUGGGGAGCGAACAGG
rnacentral:rRNA from 1 species